ensembl:lncRNA
GGCGUUUAUCGGUUCUUGCGAGGGAGGCAGCACGUGCGCGCCUUCUCAGUUUGUUCGGCGCCGUUAUGCUGUAGAGCGGCACUUGUGGUCACGAGCGUGCAGUCGUGCGCGCCUGAGGAGGCUUGUGGUGAAGGCGAAGCGCUGUGUCUGCGCCCGCUGAGGUUAUUUCUGAGUUAUUCCACGCUUCACAACGUGUGUGCAGAGUUAAUUGCAGUAAAGGAAUGAGAGAAGAAAUAUAUGGAGUGACAAAAGUGAAGACUGUAAGGAGCUGCUUUGGAUCCAGCCAUCUUAUCUGAAACAGAGAAGAGAGUUGGUAGAAGACUCUACACUUGCUCUUGUUAAACCUUGUCAGAUUCCUUCCUGCUCAACUCUCCAGUUUGUCCAGAUCUUGUUGAGUGGCAGCAGAGCCUUUAGGAGAAAGACAGAUGUGCUCCUCUCUCUGAUUCAGAUUGAGGUCUUUGAAGAAAACUGCAUCAACUCAUCUGACCAGAAGAUGAUGGUGAAACUGAGGAGAGACUUACUUAUGUCUUUCCUGAGACCAGGCUGUUGAGUGACUGGAAAUGUUCCUGAAGAGUGUAUGCUAUGGCAGGAGGCACCUGACUUAAAAGCGCAUACAGACUAAUGACUUCAGUCUUGAAGAUUUUUAUUUGCCCUCAUACUGUAAGGAAUUUAGGCACAAUCCAAUUUAUGCAUGAUCUGCUGAAGGAUCAAGCUCACUGGAAACACUGCACAAAAGGCAUUUACAGAGGGAACUUCUGAGCACAGAAGAUUUUGAUUAAAAGGUGGAGAGAGAAGAGAAAUUUUCCUAUAUACUUCUUUGAGAGGAAAACAAAGCAAGAAUUGCCAAGUCCAAAGAGAGAAGAAUCCCUCUGGCAGCCCUGGAUGAGAGGAAUGUUCUUUAAUUAGCACAGAAGAUGAUUGUCUGCUUAAGUGGUGGGCAAUUCUACAUCAUUCAGAUAAGGUUUGAUUCCUCUCCCUGAAGGAUUGACAGGGAAAGGAAAAGAAGAGUAAAGGGAUCCACCAACAGAUGGAUGCAGAGUAUUGGUCUUAAAGACAGCCUGUUCUGCUGGAAGGAUAUAGUAUAUCCUCAAAGGUGGAUCUCAAUAAGGAUUUAUCAGUGAAUUGUGAGAGAACGUUUAGUUUUAGAAGAGUUAAUUUGAAGGACACUGAAGAAACAAAUUAUCCCCAAAUCAAUGGUAAAGUUAUUAAGCAUGAAGAAAUCCUACGUGAUAUACCCAAAUCCAUCCAGUGAAACAAGGAACACUCCACUUCACCCCAAAGAAUUAAGGCACCUUCCAGAAAAAGAAUUUGUUGUUUUGAUUAUUUAAAAAAGCAAGAAGAAGUACACGGGCAAAUUCAGAAAGCAACAAGUUUACUCAAUUCCAGAGAUUCUCUUCAGAGCAUACUUGAAGACAUCAGUGGGACUACAACAUUGUCAAAGAAUAUAAAAUUAUCUGUCAUGCCAGGCAUCUACAGAAAUGGUCUGCACAAAAUUUGGAGGCAUGGUCAUCAUCUUCACUAUAGCUAUUCCUGUGAAAACAGAAACAUGAAUGUCAUCUUACUGAUUUACAGAGUAAUGAUGAAAGGUUUUCCUAUCACUGUAGUAGCAAUUUUUGCUGUUUGGAUUUUUGACCUAUAUUAGUUUACACAACCCUUCCUAUCAUUCAUAUAAGCUCAUUUAGUAUAGAUAUCUAUAGCUAUAGAUAGUAUAGAAUCAUAGAAUCAUUAAGGUUGGAAAAGACUUCUAAGUUCAUCUAGUCAAACCAUAAGCCCAUCACCACCAAGCCUACUAAAUCAUGUCCCUCAGUGACACAUCUACCCUUUCCUUGAAAACCUGCAUGGACGUUGAUCCCAUCACCUUCCUGGGUAGCCUGUUCCAAUGCCUUACCGUCCUUUCUGAGAAUAAAUUUUUCCUAAUUUCCAACCUUAAACUCUGCUAGUGCAACUCAUGGCCUUAACCUUUUAUACACUGAAGAAUUUUUUUAUUCAGAUGAAACGAUUCAUUCCAUGCUACCUUUCUAAAAAGCUUUGCAUUGUCCUGAUUCUUGACUUGUAAGAGAAUCUUCACUAUAUAUAAGACGGUCAGAUCUUCAAGCCUUGCUUUGUGUAGCUUAUUCCAGUUUUUCUGCAGAUAUCUGAACUGUUUUGAUUCUGAUUCUGUCCUUAGUUAACUCAUCUUUCUCCAAGCGUGCUUCUAAUUUUGUCCACACUUUUGUGUCUGAGAACACUCUCAGUGAACUCUGUGCUAGUCCAGUCUUUUAAGUUUCGUAGUGCUUUUAUGAAAGGCUUAUGAGUAAGCAAAUUUUAUAGAUUUUCCUGCAAAAUCAGUGUGAGGUUACUCUGUGAAGCUGCGUGUAGGAACUUCAUGAAUCUCUCAAAUAAAAUGUUUUUGCGAAUUCUUUGCCACAUAUUUUCCUGGGGACUGGCUUUGUUUUGUUAAUAAUUCAUCACCUCUAUUUUAUACAUGUAUAGCUUUUCUGCAGUUCUUUUCAAAGUUUCAAAAGCUUAAUCAGUUAUUUGUACUAGUAAAACUUUUUUCUGGUUCUCAUAUGCUGUAUUAUUUACUCUAAGCAGACCAAAAGGAGGAUACAGAUCAGUAUCCUGUUUACCUGUUUGAUCUUAUUUUCUUCGUUGUUUUUUUUUUAAAUUCUAACUUACUAAAGAUUUACCUAUUUAACAAUGUUAAUAAAAUAUUAAAGUUUUUAAA